CACCUAGGCGACGAUCCCUAGCUGGUCUGAGAGGAUGACCAGCCACACUGGAACUGAGACACGGUCCAGACUCCUACGGGAGGCAGCAGUGGGGAAUAUUGCACAAUGGGCGCAAGCCUGAUGCAGCCAUGCCGCGUGUAUGAAGAAGGCCUUCGGGUUGUAAAGUACUUUCAGCGGGGAGGAAGGCGACGGGGUUAAUAACCCUGUCGAUUGACGUUACCCGCAGAAGAAGCACCGGCUAACUCCGUGCCAGCAGCCGCGGUAAUACGGAGGGUGCAAGCGUUAAUCGGAAUUACUGGGCGUAAAGCGCACGCAGGCGGU
rnacentral:ncRNA from 1 species